rnacentral:rRNA from 1 species
UACGUAGGGAGCAAGCGUUGUCCGGAAUCAUUGGGCGUAAAGAGCGCGUAGGUGGCUGCAUAAGUCCGUUGUGAAAGUCAAAGGCUCAACCUUUGAAAGCCGAUGGAUACUGUGGAGCUAGAGUACGGAAGAGGCGAGUGGAAUUCCUGGUGUAGCGGUGGAAUGCGCAGAUAUCAGGAGGAACACCUGCGGCGAAGGCGGGUAGCUGGGCCAACACUGACGCUGAGGCACGAAAGCGUGGGGAGCAAACAGG